rnacentral:misc_RNA from 1 species
CACGUAACAUGUGUACAACUUUGUCAUGAUAUUAAUUUUUGGGGCUUUCAUCGCUCUAAAAUCUUGCAUCGUAUUCAUUAUUGUUGUCAGCAGUGAUGACUGAAACCUAGAUGGAUAUUGAAAGUUGCUUGCUGCAAGGCUGAAGUGCGCUAUGGCGGCUGUGGUUUGGUUCAACAUCUAAUUUCUUGAAAAGUAAGGGUCAGCUGAUAUGUAAAAUGAAGCCUCUUAUGGUAGUUGUAUUAUCAUCUUUCACAAAUCAAAAGGAAAUUGUACUCCUUUCUAAACAAUUCUUGUCGAUAGGGUAACCAGUUCUUUUUGGACGGUCUGAGCAAUAUAUUUUCAGGGUGAGCACCAAUUUUGGGCUUCAACUGUGGUGUAAGCUGUUAAUGAAG